rnacentral:sRNA from 1 species
CCCUAGCCCCGAUUGCAACGACAUCCUUUUUUGCGAUGGCAAAAGAGGCGGGAAAAAGAUAUAGUGGAAAGCGGGAAACAGC